GCCGCCCCCGCUUCAUGAGCGGCGUUCGCCCGCCUCGCUCUGCCCAGGGGAUCCGCGGCCGUGGCCGGCUGCCGCCGCCGCAGCAGCAGCAUGUGGAGUCCGACCGAGGAGGAGAAAUACGGCGUGGUGAUAUGCAGCUUCCGAGGAGCUGUACCGCAAGGCUUGGUCCUGGAACUAGGUGAAACUGUCCAGAUCCUAGAGAAAUGUGAAGGCUGGUACAGAGGUGUUUCCAUUAAGAAGCCCAAUGUAAAGGGGAUUUUUCCUGCAAACUAUAUUCACUUGAAAAAGGCAAUCGUCAGUAACAGAGGGCAAUAUGAAACAGUUGUUCCACUUGAAGAUUCUGUUGUGACUGAAGUCACAGCCACUCUGCAGGAAUGGGCUGUGCUCUGGAAACAGCUGUAUGUGAAACAUAAGGUAGAUCUUUUCUACAAACUGCGGCAUGUGAUGAAUGAGCUCAUUGACCUACGUAGACAGCUGCUGUCAGGUCACUUGACACAGGAUCAGGUGCGAGAGGUCAAGAGACACCUCACAGUGAGGCUGGACUGGGGCAAUGAACAUUUGGGCCUGGAUUUAGUUCCUCGGAAGGACUUUGAGGUUGUGGAUUCAGAUCAGAUCAGUGUUUCUGAUCUUUAUAAAAUGCAUUUGUCAAGUAGACACAGUGUCCAGCAGAGCACAUCCCAGGUGGACACAAUUCGUCAGCGUCAUGGGGAAGCGUGCCGUAUGCCAGUGCCUCACCACUUCUUCCUCAGUCUGAAGAGCUUCACCUACAAUACCAUUGGAGAAGACACAGAUGUCUUUUUUUCUUUGUAUGAUGUUCGAGAAGGCAAGCAGAUCAGUGAGAGGUUUAUGGUGAGGUUAAACAAGAACGGAGGCCCCAGGAAUCCGGAGAAGAUAGAUCGAAUGUGUGCACUUUUCACAGAUCUCAGCAGCAAGGACAUGAAGAGAGAUUUGUACAUAGUUGCCCAUGUAAUUCGAAUAGGUCGCAUGUUGCUAAAUGAUUCAAAAAAAGGGCCCCCACAUUUACACUACCGGCGGCCCUAUGGCUGUGCAGUGCUGAGCAUCAUGGAUGUGCUCCAGUCCAUCUCGGAAAUCAAAGAAGAGAAGGAUUUUGUUCUCAAAGUUUACACGUGUAACAACGAAAAUGAAUGGUGCCAGAUCCAUGAAAAUAUCAUUCGCAAGUCCAGCACCAAAUACACAGCACCCAGCUCCAACUAUGGACUUAUAAUAUCUCUUCAGCUUCUUCGUGGCGACAUGGAGCAGGUUCGAAGGGAAAACCCUAUGAUCUUUAACAGAGGCGUUUCUGUUACCAGGAAGCUGGGUUUUCCUGAUGUUAUAAUGCCAGGUGACAUACGCAACGACUUAUACCUGACAUUAGAAAAGGGAGACUUUGAAAGAGGUGGGAAAAGUGUGCAGAAGAACAUUGAAGUCACCAUGUAUGUGCUCUAUGCAGAUGGAGAAAUCUUGAAGGACUGCAUCAGCCUGGGCUCAGGAGAGCCAAGCAGGAGUGCCUACCACUCUUUUGUCCUUUACCACAAUAACAGCCCUCGAUGGGGGGAAAUCAUCAAGUUGCCCAUCCCUAUAGACAGGUUCCGUGGGUCUCACCUCCGCUUUGAGUUCAGACAUUGCUCCACUAAAGACAAGGGAGAGAAGAAGCUCUUUGGUUUUGCAUUUACUCCACUGAUGCGAGAUGAUGGCACUACCUUGUCAGAUGAUAUCCACGAGCUUUAUGUUUAUAAGUGUGAUGAGAACAGCACCUUUAACAAUCACGCGCUGUACCUGGGGCUGCCGUGCUGCAAAGAGGACUACAAUGGCUGCCCCAACAUCCCUUCCAGCCUCAUUUUCCAGCGCAGCACUAAAGAGACCUUCUCAGUCUCUACACAGCUUUCUUCUACCAAGCUCACCCAGAACGUGGAUUUGCUUGCUCUACUGAAAUGGAAAGCUUACCCAGAUCGUGUGAUGGAUAUUCUGGGAAGACUGAGACAUGUCAGCGGCGAGGAGAUUGUUAAGUUCCUACAAGAUAUUCUCGACACGUUGUUUGUAGUUUUGGAUGACAACACAGAAAAAUACGGUCUGCUGGUCUUUCAGUCUUUGGUGUUCAUCAUAAAUCUGCUGCGUGACAGCAAGUAUUUCCAUUUUCGCCCGGUGAUGGACACGUACAUUCAGAAGCACUUUGCAGGAGCACUGGCUUACAAGGAACUGAUCCGCUGUUUGAAGUGGUACAUGGACCGUUCAGCUGAGCUCGUGCGCCAGGACCACAUCCAGGAGGCAAUGAGGGCCUUGGAAUAUCUUUUCAAGUUCAUUGUCCAAUCUCGGAUCCUUUACUCCAGAGCUACUUGUGGAAUGGAGGAGGAACAGUUCCGCUCCAGCAUCCAAGAACUUUUCCAGUCCAUCAGAUUUGUGCUCAGCUUGGACAGCAGGAGCUCUGAGACUCUCAUCUUCACACAGGCUGCUUUGCUGAACUCCUUCCCCGCUAUCUUCGAUGAGCUGUUGCAGAUGUUCACUGUGCAGGAGGUGGCAGAGUUCGUGAGGGGCACGCUGGGCAGCAUGCCCAGCACAGUGCACAUUGGGCAGUCCAUGGAUGUGGUGAAGCUGCAGUCUAUUGCACGCACUGUUGACAGCCGCCUCUUCUCUUUCUCAGAGUCCCGGCGUAUCCUGCUGCCUGUAGUUCUUCACCACAUUCACCUUCACCUACGACAGCAGAAGGAGCUACUUAUCUGCUCUGGGAUCCUCAGUAGUAUCUUCUCCAUAAUCAAGACCAGCUCUUUGGAGGGAGAUGUCGUGGAGGAGGUUGAGAUGAUGGUGGAGAGCCUCCUGGAUGUGCUCUUACAAACUCUGCUUACAAUCAUGAGUAAAUCGCAGUCUCAGGAGGCGGGAGAAUAUGUCUCCUGCCUUUUAUCUUUGCUUCGUCAGAUGUCAGACACUCAUUUCCAGCAUUUACUGGACAACUUCCAAAGCAAGGAUGAACUAAAGGAGUUCCUUCUGAAGAUUUUCUGUGUAUUUCGAAACCUGAUGAAAAUGAGUGUCUUUCCUCGAGACUGGAUGGUGAUGAGGUUGCUCACCAGCAAUAUCAUAGUUACAACAGUUCAGUAUCUGUCUUCUGCACUGCAUAAGAACUUCACGGAAACGGACUUUGACUUUAAAGUGUGGAACUCUUACUUCAGCCUGGCAGUUUUGUUUAUAAACCAGCCAAGUCUCCAACUGGAAAAUGCCACACCAGCAAAAAGGAAGAAGAUUCAGGAUAAGUAUGGCGAUAUGAGGGUCAUGAUGGCAUAUGAGCUCUUCAGCAUGUGGCAGAACCUGGGUGAGCAUAAGAUUCACUUUAUUCCGGGAAUGAUUGGCCCCUUUCUUGGUGUUACACUUGUUCCACAACCAGAAGUCCGGAAUAUCAUGAUCCCCAUCUUCCAUGACAUGAUGGACUGGGAGCAGAGGAAAAAUGGCAACUUCAAGCAGGUGGAAGCUGAGUUGAUCGACAAGCUGGACAGUCUGGUAUCUGAAGGAAAAGGUGAUGAGAACUACAGGGAGCUCUUCAGCCUGCUCUUGCUGGAGAAGAUUGAGCAGGAAACAUGGCGGGAGACUGGAAUCUCGUUUGUCACGUCAGUGACUCGUCUCAUGGAGCGUCUGCUUGACUACAGGGACUGUAUGAAAGGAGAUGAAACAGAAAACAAGAAAAUUGGCUGCACUGUUAACCUUAUGAAUUUCUAUAAGUCUGAAAUCAACAAGGAAGAGAUGUACAUCCGCUAUAUUCACAAGCUGUGUGACAUGCACUUACAGGCUGAGAACUACACAGAGGCUGCAUUUACUUUGCUUUUGUACUGUGAGUUGCUCCAGUGGGAGGACAGACCUCUGAGAGAGUUCCUGCAUUAUCCAUCUCAGUCAGAGUGGCAACGUAAGGAAGGUCUGUGCCGUAAGAUUAUCCAUUACUUCAACAAAGGGAAGAGCUGGGAGUUUGGAAUCCCGCUGUGCAGAGAACUGGCCAUCCAGUACGAAAGUCUCUAUGAUUACCAGAGCCUCAGUUGGAUUCGAAAAAUGGAAGCUACCUAUUACGAUAACAUCAUGGAACAGCAGCGCUUGGAACCUGAGUUUUUCCGAGUUGGUUUUUAUGGUCGGAAAUUCCCAUUUUUCCUACGGAACAAAGAGUAUGUGUGUCGGGGCCAUGACUACGAGCGGCUGGAAGCCUUCCAGCAGAGGAUGUUAAGCGAGUUCCCUCAAGCCAUUGCAAUGCAGCAUCCAAACCACCCAGAUGAUUCUAUAUUGCAGUGUGAUGCCCAGUAUUUACAGAUCUAUGCAGUGACUCCCAUCCCAGACAACAUAGAUGUGUUGCAAAUGGACCGUGUCCCUGACCGCAUAAAGAGCUUUUACCGAGUCAACAACAUCCGCAAGUUCCGCUAUGACAGACCCUUCCACAAAGGCCCAAAGGACAAGGAGAAUGAAUUCAAGAGCUUGUGGAUUGAACGUACCACUCUGACCUUGACUCACAGUUUGCCUGGGAUCUCUCGUUGGUUUGAAGUGGAGAGAAGAGAACUGGUUGAAGUAAGUCCUUUGGAAAACGCCAUUCAAGUGGUUGAGAACAAAAACCAGGAGCUGAGAACACUGAUAAGCCAGUACCAGCAUAAACAAAUGCAUGGCAACAUUAAUCUUCUCAGCAUGUGUCUGAAUGGAGUGAUUGAUGCAGCUGUUAAUGGGGGAAUUGCACGAUACCAGGAGGCCUUUUUUGAUAAGGAUUAUAUCACAAAGCACCCUGGAGAUGCAGAGAAGAUCACACAGCUCAAGGAGCUCAUGCAGGAACAGGUACAUGUCUUAGGAGUGGGUCUGGCCGUCCACGAGAAAUUCGUACACCCAGAAAUGCGUCCCCUGCACAAGAAACUGAUAGACCAGUUCCAGAUGAUGCGAUCCAGCCUGUACCAUGAGUUACCUGGUUUGGAUAAGCUGAGCCCGGCCUGUUCUGGAAGUAGUACACCACGCAGCAACGUCCUGGUUUCACACGGACCCAUGAGCCCAGAGAGCAUAAAGCUGGUGCAUCGACACAGCCCACUGAACUUGCUGGGUUCAGUCCGACACUCGUCGUCCUCUCUGUCAUCACACACCUCCAGUGAGACAGGAAACCUGGUUAUCCUGACAGACAGCUCCAUGGGGGAGACUGCUGAGGAUAUGUACCACAUGCAGGCUAGCCCUUCCACCUCAAGCCUGAGCUCUACUCACUCGGCACCGUCCCAGAUGAUUAACUCUGCCCCUUCCAGUGCUCGAGUGCUGGUGAAAGGUGCUGGAUUGACAACACUGGAGGCUGAAGCCCUCUAUUUAUCCACAGAACAGAUACAGCAUGGGCGGCAGCCGUGCAAGCUUCCCCACGCUGCCCCCACCAAUGUGCCUCAUCUCUGUCCUGGAGGGACCACCUCUAGAGGCUCUCCCUCUCUACCAGAUAAGUACCGCCACUCUCGGGAGAUGAUGAUGUUGCUGCCAGCCCAUCGGGACCGGCCCAGCAGCGCCAUGUAUCCCGCAGCCAUCAUGGAGAACGGACAGCCUCCAAAUUUCCAGCGCGCCUUGAUGCAGCAAAUGAUUGGACCAUGCAAACCCUGCAGUGACCCCAACCUGUCUGUGGCUGAGAAAGCUGUGCCAGCAGCGCCCAGUAGCUGGAGCCUAGACAGCGGAACCCGCGAGGCCCUGCCAUUCCUGUCUGCCCACGUUGGGAGCAUCUUGGCCCCACCAGUGCCUCCCCGAAGCCUGCCCCAUGGACACUACUCGCUGCACUUUGAUGCCUUCCAUCACCAGCUCAGCGAUGCUCCCCCGGCACUGCCUGCACGGACGUUGCGCAAGUCCCCUCUUCAUCCUAUCCCUGCAUCACCCACCAGUCCGCAGUCCGGCCUGGACGGCAGUAACUCCACUCUGUCCGGCAGUGCCAGCAGUGGCGUCUCUUCCUUGAGCGAGAGCAAUUUCGGACAUUCUUCUGAACCGCCUCCUCGCACAGACACCAUGGAUUCUGUCCCCAGCCAGGCCUGGAACACUGACGAAGAUCUAGAGACACCCUACCUCCCUGUCAGGUACAGUCUCUCUGAGCCUGAUGUCCUAGAGUCGCUCAAAUCGCAGCCGUGCCGAAGCCACUCCGCUCCGUCUGGAGUCAUUCCUCAGGACACCAUGGACCCUCCUGCUCUGCCCCCCAAACCUUACCACUCCCGCCUGCCCAACCUGGAGAACGAGGAGGGGAUGAUCAUCGAAGAUGACGACAAGCACCGUCCCUUGCACCGCAAAGCGUCCCAGCCGGUGAGCGGCGGGAAGGAGGAGCAGGCCCGGGUAGCGUGGGAGCACGGCAUCAGUGAGCAGUAGGGGCAGCUCCUGGGAAGCAGCUUGGCAUCGUCAUUCCAGGGCCGACCACAAGCGGAGAGAGAUCGGGACUGGGAGCACAGCCAACCGACUUUCUACCGCUGCAAGUUGACGUCUGUGGAGCCCACAGGAGCAGCUGGGCCAGCACGGGAGUUCUUGCCUUAAAGAGGGCAGAAGAUAGAAAGACUAUGACUAAGAUCAAGCUUUUGUGAAUGUUGGAACUAAUACUUCUUGGAACUAAUACUUCCCUGGAGGGUGAGGUGUCUUAUAGCAUAGUACAACUCCACCAUCAGGCUCAGUCCUGGACUAGGUGGAAGCAACAGUAGUCAUUGCCCAGCAGGAUUUGAAGAUUCCUUGUAUAAACCACAGCAACGGGAUGUUUUGAACAGGACUUUUGUCAUUCUAUACUUAACUCUAAGUCAAGCUUAACACACUUGCCUUCAUUGGGUUUUCUUGGCGUAACAAAACAGCAUGUGCAUUCCUGAGAAAAGUGGUGGGAUUCUGCUACGAAGCUCUCCAUUGUCACUCUACCUGCUGGCCCCAUCUGAAACAAAACUGAGAAGGAACUACAGUAGUAGAAGAAAAGCAAAACAAUUUUUCUGAAUCCUACAGGGUUGUUUUUUGUCAGUGGUCGGGCUGGUUUUAUUACAGUGUGCAAGACCUUAGAUCCUUUUCCGUCUUUCCCUCUGUUUGGUUUUUAGCUUCCUUACCCGUUUUUUUAGGUCAGGGAUAUUGCAUAUCCCUUCUGUGGGGGAAUCAGCCAAAACUGGGGAGGCUGGAGAGAGCAAGAGCCUUUGGGAAACAAAUUAUGUGAUAUUUAAAAUUCCCUCUGAUCAUGCUUCUUUGUAAAUACCCUCAUUUGAAUGCUGUGUAUUUGUACAGGAAAUUGAGCAAAAAAUGUAUAGAUUGUGACGUCUGACUGGUAUUCUGCCCUGUAAAUGUGUUUUUAACCUCUGGCAUUCUGUGCUUCUUUAAAAAAAAAAAAGGAAAAAAAAGGCAAAAACCUCUAACCACUUCUCUUUUGUGUAUUCAUGUUUAAAAUAAAAUGAAAACAGCUAUCUUAUCUAUACUGGAAAUCAAAUCUAAAAGGAAAAAAAAAAUCAAUUUGUACAAGUGUCCUAAAGGUACUUCAUUGUAUAUAUUGUGAUAGCAUGUUUCCAGAACCAACAAAUAAGUGGUGUGAAUUUUAGAUGUAAAUAUCUGCCGUUUGUUUGGGGUUUCUUUCCCUCAACAUUCACUCGACUGCUGUGAUGUGGAAUUAAAGAUUAAAU